rnacentral:rRNA from 1 species
UGGGGAAUAUUGCACAAUGGGGGAAACCCUGAUGCAGCGACGCCGCGUGAAGGAAGAAGUAUCUCGGUAUGUAAACUUCUAUCAGCAGGGAAGACAAUGAC